GACGAACGCUGGCGGCGUGCUUAACACAUGCAAGUCGAACGGAAAGGCCCUGCUUGCAGGGUACUCGAGUGGCGAACGGGUGAGUAACACGUGGGUGAUCUGCCCUGCACUUCGGGAUAAGCCUGGGAAACUGGGUCUAAUACCGGAUAGGAGCCAUUUUUCGUGUGAUGGUUGGAAAGUUUUUUCGGUGUAGGAUGAGCUCGCGGCCUAUCAGCUUGUUGGUGGGGUAAUGGCCUACCAAGGCGGCGGCGGGUAGCCGGCCUGAGAGGGUGGACGGCCACCAUGGGACUGGGAUACGGCCCAGACUCCUACGGGAGGCAGCAGUGGGGAAUAUUGGACCAUGGGCGCGAGCCUGAUGCAGCGACGCCGCGUGGGGGAUGACGGCCUUCGGGUUGUAAACUCCUUUCGCUAGGGACGAAGCUUUUUGUGACGGUACCUAGAUAAGAAGCACCGGCUAACUACGUG
rnacentral:rRNA from 1 species